rnacentral:rRNA from 1 species
AUUGAACGCUGGCGGCAUGCCUAACACAUGCAAGUCGAACGGCAGCAUGACCGAGCUUGCUCGGUUGAUGGCGAGUGGCGGACGGGUGAGGAAAGCAUCGGAAUCUGCCCAGUCGUGGGGGAUAACGUAGGGAAACUUACGCUAAUACCGCAUACGACCCGAGGGUGAAAGCGGGGGACCGAAAGGCCUCGCGCGACUGGAUGAGCCGAUGCCGGAUUAGCUUGUUGGUGGGGUAACGGCCCACCAAGGCGACGAUCUGUAGCUGGUCUGAGAGGAUGAUCAGCCACACUGGGACUGAGACACGGCCCAGACUCCUACGGGAGGCAGCAGUGGGGAAUAUUGGACAAUGGGGGCAACCCUGAUCCAGCAAUGCCGCGUGUGUGAAGAAGGCCUCGGUGUAAGCACUUUAUCGGUACGAACGACGACGGCGUAUACCGUCGGACGUGACGGUACCGACGGAAGUAAG